CCCAGCCCCUUAAGGCUGUCAGAAGCACUGCCCAGAUGCCUCCACGGGAACUGGCAGACACUCUCGAGGGGAAAGGACUCUGCACCCACGCUCACGUCUCUGGGGGAUUCUCUUCCGAAGUCCGCUGGGGAUUUCUCAUGGCUUUUAGCCGUCAUCAGGUUGUUGGCUUGCCCUUGGUGCACUGGGGCGAGAGGUCUGGUUAUCAAAGGAGAUGCUGCCAGGGCACAGCUGCUCCGUCCUUGAGCCCCUUUGAAGUCUAAACAGGAAGUGUUUCAGCAUGAAUUAGCACUAGCUUAGUGCUUUCAGUGCUAUCUCUAAGCAGAGUUAACGUCUGUCCUUUGGGUUUUAUCACACCUCCUUCCUGGGACCUACUAAUGCAAUGUUCCAAGAUUGAGAGCUUCCUUUUCAACAAAAGAAGAGGAGUCAUACACAUUCUGAAUGACUGUGAAUUCUAAUUGCUACUCAUCUCUAAAAUUUUUGGUUUUGUGAUGUCUUUCUGUUCAUCCAGUGCAGCACUGUUUGCUCACAUUCAAAAGUGAGAAUAUGCACCUUCCAUAACUCCUCUAGGCCAGACCCUGCCAUCAUCCCAUCAAGACUGGUACCCAAACUUUGAGCACAAACCUGGACCAUUCUAACCAUUUCCUCUUAAACUCCAUCCUGGGUAAUAGCAACUGAAAAAUUUGGAAAAGGAAGUUGUUUUUCAGUGCUUGGAAGUGGAGUUACCACUUGUUUAUGAUCAACUGAUAAAACUAAGCAGAGGCAACCCUCCAGGACAGGGCCUCACCAAAGCGGGGAGUGACAUCAAGAACCAUGGCAGGGGCACAUAUAAUUCUGGGACAAGACUGGUGGAGGUCAAUCUAUUCUGCCUUUUCGGCAGCUGCUGGGAUAGCUGGAGGUAGGAGAACUUCUCUUUUAUCUCUGCUAAUGAGUAGUCAUCUGCUUUCCCCAGGACAAGCUUCCAACUCUAGGUUAUUCAGGAGUUGUUCAAAGCAGGAAAAAAAUCCAUUCCCAUGAGGCAGGUGUGUCAGACAGCAUCGGCACUCAGUCUCCCUGCAGAGAUCCCAAGCUGAUCUCAGAAUAAUGCAGCCCAUGGAAGAAUGUUAAAUGCUCGCGAUUGGUUAAGAAAUAAAGAGCCACCACUCAAAGAAAGAAAAAGUUGA
rnacentral:lncRNA from 13 species